UACUGAGUUUACGCUCUAUAACCCUUUGUGAACAUACCUAUAACUGUUGCUUCGGCGGGUAGGGUCUCCGUGACCCUCCCGGCCUCCCGCCCCCGGGCGGGUCGGCGCCCGCCGGAGGAUAACCAAACUCUGAUUUAACGACGUUUCUUCUGAGUGGUACAAGCAAAUAAUCAAAACUUUUAACAACGGAUCUCUUGGUUCUGGCAUCGAUGAAGAACGCAGCGAAAUGCGAUAAGUAAUGUGAAUUGCAGAAUUCAGUGAAUCAUCGAAUCUUUGAACGCACAUUGCGCCCGCCAGCAUUCUGGCGGGCAUGCCUGUUCGAGCGUCAUUUCAACCCUCAAGCUCUGCUUGGUGUUGGGGCCCUACAGCUGAUGUAGGCCCUCAAAGGUAGUGGCGGACCCUCCCGGAGCCUCCUUUGCGUAGUAACUUUACGUCUCGCACUGGGAUCCGGAGGGACUCUUGCCGUAAAACCCCCAAUUUUCCAAAGGUUGACCUCGGAUCAGGUAGGAAUACCCGCUGAACUUAAGCAUAUCAAUAAGCGGAGGAAAAGAAACCAACAGGGAUUGCCCCAGUAACGGCGAGUGAAGCGGCAACAGCUCAAAUUUGAAAUCUGGCCCUAGGCCCGAGUUGUAAUUUGCAGAGGAUGCU
rnacentral:rRNA from 1 species